GGGGCUGCUUUGGUAUUGACGGGAAGGUGUAGUCGUUUCGUAAGCAUGCAGGGGCAUGGUCGGUUACCCCUCAAAAAACAACGACCAAAAUGUAACUGGCGAAUACCAGUACGCUAUGGCUGCCUAAUUCUAGCGAAUUAGGACGCUUUUGUGCCGCGUGAGGGCCACGCUCAGCGUCCCCCUCUUAGCCUAGACUUCCGAUAAGGGCCGCCGCGCAUCAAACUUUUUUCGGGAUAGUCUCACAGGAUGCUCCGGAUGUGGGAUGAAACUCAGGGGAUAAGGUGCAAAUGUGUGGGUCACUGAACCAGUCUUGCGCUCGAAAACCUAAGCAGUGAAUAAGCAUGUAGAAGGCGUUGCGACGCUUUGUCCGGACGCGGGUUCGAGUCUCGCCAGCUCCACCA
rnacentral:tmRNA from 1 species